UACGAAGGGGCUAGCGUUGCUCGGAAUCACUGGGCGUAAAGGGUGCGUAGGCGGGUCCUUAAGUCAGGGGUGAAAUCCUGGAGCUCAACUCCAGAACUGCCUUUGAUACUGAGGAUCUUGAGUUCGGGAGAGGUGAGUGGAACUGCGAGCGUAGAGGUGAAAUUCGUAGAUAUUCGCAAGAACACCAGUGGCGAAGGCGGCUCACUGGCCCGAUACUGACGCUGAGGCACGAAAGCGUGGGGAGCAAACAGG
rnacentral:rRNA from 1 species